GACGUAGGGGGCAAGCGUUGUCCGGAUUUAUUGGGCGUAAAGAGCGUGUAGGCGGUCAGGUAGGUCCGUUGUGAAAACUCGAGGCUCAACCUCGAGACGCCGAUGGAAACCAUCUGACUAGAGUCCGGAAGAGGAGAGUGGAAUUCCUGGUGUAGCGGUGAAAUGCGCAGAUAUCAGGAAGAACACCCGUGGCUAAGGCGGCUCUCUAGUACGGUACUGACGCUGAGACGCGAAAGCGUGGGGAGCGAACAGG
rnacentral:rRNA from 1 species